GACGAACGCUGGCGGCGUGCUUAACACAUGCAAGUCGAACGGAGCUAUUUAUUUCGGUAAAUCGCUUAGUGGCAAACGGGUGAGUAACGCGUAGGCAACCUGCCCUCAGGAUGGGGACAACGGCUCGAAAGAGCCGCUAAUACCGAAUGACGUAACUCUUCCACAUGGAAGAGAUACUAAAGAUGGGUCAAACCAUCGCCUAAGGAUGGGCCUGCGUCUGAUUAGCCAGUUGGUGAGGUAACGGCUCACCAAAGCGACGAUCAGUAGCCGGUCUGAGAGGAUGAACGGCCACAAUGGGACUGAGACACGGCCCAUACUCCUACGGGAGGCAGCAGUGGGGAAUCUUCCGCAAUGGGCGAAAGCCUGACGGAGCAACGCCGCGUGAGUGAAGAAGGUCUUCGGAUCGUAAAGCUCUGUUGUCGGGGACGAAAGAGUAGACGAGGAAAUGCAGGU
rnacentral:rRNA from 1 species